rnacentral:rRNA from 1 species
AGGACGAACGCUGGCGGCGUGCUUAACACAUGCAAGUCGAACGGGGAUUAAGUUGGAAGGGUUUCGGCCUGGAAGAUUAAUUCGAGUGGCGGACGGGUGAGUAACGCGUGAGCAACCUGUCCCAGACAGGGGGAUAACACUUGGAAACAGGUGCUAAUACCGCAUAAGACCACGGGGUCACAUGGCCCUGGGGUAAAAGGAGCAAUCCGGUUUGGGGUGGGCUCGCGUCCGAUUAGAUAGUUGGUGAGGUAACGGCCCACCAAGUCAACGAUCGGUAGCCGACCUGAGAGGGUGAUCGGCCGCAUUGGGACUGAGACACGGCCCAAACUCCUACGGGAGGCAGCAGUGGGGAAUAUUGCACAAUGGGGGAAACCCUGAUGCAGCGAACCGCCGCGUGAGUGAAGAAGCAUUUCGGUGCGUAAAGCUCUGUCAGCAGGAAAGAAAAUGACGGUACCUGACCAAGAAGCCCCGGCUGACUACGUGCCAGCAGCCGC